CCUGGCUCAGAGUGAACGCUGGCGGCGUGCCUAAUACAUGCAAGUCGAACGGAGUUUAAGAGGGCUUGCUCUUUUAAACUUAGUGGCGCACGGGUGAGUAAUGUAUAGUUAAUCUGCCCCGCACUGGGGGACAACAGUUAGAAAUGACUGCUAAUACCCCAUACUCCUUUGGCUCAUAAGAGUCAUCGGGAAAGUUUUUCGGUGCGGGAUGAGACUAUAUCGUAUCAGCUAGUUGGUGAGGUAAUGGCUCACCAAGGCUUUGACGCGUAACUGGUCUGAGAGGAUGAUCAGUCACACUGGAACUGAGACACGGUCCAGACUCCUACGGGAGGCAGCAGUAGGGAAUAUUGCUCAAUGGGCGAAAGCCUGAAGCAGCAACGCCGCGUGGAGGAUGACACUUUUCGGAGCGUAAACUCCUUUUCUUGGGGAAGAAAUUUGACGGUACCCAAGGAAUAAGCACCGGCUAACUCCGUGCCAGCAGCCGCGGUAAUACGGAGGGUGCAAGCGUUACUCGGAAUCACUGGGCGUAAAGGACGCGUAGGCGGAUUGUCAAGUUUCUUGUGAAAUCUAAUGGCUUAACCAUUAAACUGCUUGAAAAACUGACAAUCUAGAGUGAGGGAGAGGCAGAUGGAAUUGGUGGUGUAGGGGUAAAAUCCGUAGAGAUCACCAGGAAUACCCAUUGCGAAGGCGAUCUGCUAGAACUCAACUGACGCUAAUGCGUGAAAGCGUGGGGAGCAAACAGGAUUAGAUACCCUGGUAGUCCACGCCCUAAACGAUGCAUACUAGUUGUUGCUGCGCUAGUCGUGGCAGUAAUGCACCUAACGGAUUAAGUAUGCCGCCUGGGGAGUACGGUCGCAAGAUUAAAACUCAAAGGAAUAGACGGGGACCCGCACAAGCGGUGGAGCAUGUGGUUUAAUUCGAAGAUACGCGAAGAACCUUACCUGGGCUUGAUAUCCUAAGAAUCUUGCAGAGAUGCGAGAUUACUGGCCUUAAAACCAGAUAGAGACAGGUGCUGCACGGCUGUCGUCAGCUCGUGUCGUGAGAUGUUGGGUUAAGUCCCGCAACGAGCGCAACCCACGCAUUUAGUUGCUAACAGCUCGGCUGAGCACUCUAAAUGGACUGCCUUCGCAAGGAGGAGGAAGGUGUGGACGACGUCAAGUCAUCAUGGCCCUUAUGCCCAGGGCGACACACGUGCUACAAUGGCAUAUACAAUGAGACGCAAUAUCGCGAGAUGGAGCAAAUCUAUAAAAUAUGUCCCAGUUCGGAUUGUUCUCUGCAACUCGAGAGCAUGAAGCCGGAAUCGCUAGUAAUCGUAGAUCAGCCAUGCUACGGUGAAUACGUUCCCGGGUCUUGUACUCACCGCCCGUCACACCAUGGGAGUUGAUUUCACUCGAAGCCCAAACGCUAAACUAGCUAUGGUCCACAGUGGAAUCAGCGACUGGGGUGAAGUCGUAACAAGGUA
rnacentral:rRNA from 1 species